rnacentral:lncRNA from 1 species
AAGUAAUCGAGGCCAAUAUGUCACGUCACAUCUGAAUCCUUAUGUCAUUCUCUCUUUAUUCUGCAUAUCCAUUAACCCCAUGGAUUGGAUCCAUCCAUCCUUUGGCGUCAUCUCCUAUUAUACUACUCACUCACUCACUCACUCACUCACUACACAAUUUAUUCCUACUAGUUUCAUUCACAUUGAUUAUAUAACAAAAAACAAAAAAAACAAGAGUAAUUUCUCUAUAAAGCCACCUACGUAUGCUAUACAUGCAAAAAGGUCAUAGCUAUUCCAUCCCGUUGAAAAGCAUUUUCUAUUCUAUUUUUAUUUUUUUUUGUCUUCGUUGAAAAGAAAAAAACUCUGUAAUCAGAGAGAUUCUUGUUUUCUAUACAAAAAUAUUUACUAGUUAGAUAUUCUUACGCAAAAAUUGACAAAAAGGCACUGAGGAUAUGUAAAGCUAAC